AUACGGGAGGCAGCAGUGGGGAAUUGUUCGCAAUGGGCGCAAGCCUGACGACGCAACGCCGCGUGGAGGAUGAAGAUCUUCGGGUCGUAAACUCCUUUCGAUCGGGAAGAACGCCUUCGGUGUGAACAACAUCGAGGGGUGACGGUACCGAGAGAAGAAGCCCCGGCUAACUCUGUGCCAGCAGCCGCGGUAAUACAGGGGGGGCAAGCGUUGUUCGGAAUUACUGGGCGUAAAGGGCCAGUAGGCGGCCGAUUAAGUCCGACGUGAAAUCCCCAGGCUUAACUUGGGAACUGCGUCGGAUACUGAUUGGCUUGAAUUCGGGAGAGGGAUGCAGAAUUCCAGGUGUAGCGGUGAAAUGCGUAGAUAUCUGGAGGAAUACCGGUGGCGAAGGCGGCAUCCUGGACCGACAUUGACGCUGAACGGCGAAAGCUAGGGGAGCAAACGGGAUUAGAUACCCGAGUAGUCC
rnacentral:rRNA from 1 species